UACGUAGGGGGCAAGCGUUGUCCGGAAUCAUUGGGCGUAAAGAGCGUGUAGGCGGCUUGGCAAGUCUGACGUGAAAUCCCGCGGCUCAACCGCGGUAGGUCGUUGGAAACUGCCUCGCUAGAGUCCGGAAGAGGAGAGCGGAAUUCCUGGUGUAGCGGUGGAAUGCGCAGAUAUCAGGAAGAACACCCGUGGCGAAGGCGGCUCUCUGGGACGGUACUGACGCUGAGACGCGAAAGCGUGGGGAGCGAACAGG
rnacentral:rRNA from 1 species